AUUGAACGCUGGCGGAAUGCUUUACACAGGCAAGUCGAACGGCAGCACGGACUUCGGUCUGGUGGCGAGUGGCGAACGGGUGAGUAAUGUAUCGGAACGUGCCCAGUCGUGGGGGAUAACGUAGUGAAAAUUACGCUAAUACCGCAUACGAUCUAUGGAUGAAAGCGGGGGAUCGCAAGACCUCGCGCGAUUGGAGCGGCCGAUAUCAGAUUAGGUAGUUGGGGGGGUAAAGGCCCACCCAGCCAACGAUCUGUAGCUGGUCUGAGAGGACGACCAGCCGCACUGGAACUGAGACACGGUACAGACUCCUACGGGAGGCAGCAGUGGGGAAUUUUGGACAAUGGGCGAAAGCCUGAUCCAGCCAUUCCGAGUGCAGGAUGAAGGCCCUCGGGUUGUAAACUGCUUUUGUACAGAACGAAAAGGUUUCUACUAAUACUAGGAGCUCAUGACGGUACUGUAAGAAUAAGCACCGGCUAACUACGUGCCAGCCGCCGCCGUAA
rnacentral:rRNA from 1 species